UACGAAGGGGGCUAGCGUUGCUCGGAAUCACUGGGCGUAAAGGGCGCGUAGGCGGCCAUUCAAGUCGGGGGUGAAAGCCUGUGGCUCAACCACAGAAUUGCCUUCGAUACUGUUUGGCUUGAGACCGGAAGAGGUGAGUGGAACUGCGAGUGUAGAGGUGAAAUUCGUAGAUAUUCGCAAGAACACCAGUGGCGAAGGCGGCUCACUGGACCGGAACUGACGCUGAGGCGCGAAAGCGUGGGGAGCAAACAGG
rnacentral:rRNA from 1 species